UACGAAGGGGGCUAGCGUUGUUCGGAAUCACUGGGCGUAAAGGGCGCGUAGGCGGCUUUAUAAGUCGGGGGUGAAAGCCUGUGGCUCAACCACAGAAUUGCCUUCGAUACUGUAGAGCUUGAGACCGGAAGAGGUAAGUGGAACUGCGAGUGUAGAGGUGAAAUUCGUAGAUAUUCGGAAGAACACCAGUGGCGAAGGCGGCUCACUGGUCCGGUACUGACGCUGAGGUGCGAAAGCGUGGGGAGCAAACAGGG
rnacentral:rRNA from 1 species